rnacentral:rRNA from 1 species
CCUACGGGUGGCUGCAGUAGGGAAUAUUGCUCAAUGGGGGAAAGCCUGAAGCAGCAAAGCCGCGUGAAGGAUGAAGGUUUUAGGAGUGGAAAAUCCUUUUGGGAGAGAAGCGAAUGACGGUACCUCACGAAUAAGCACCGGCUAACUCCGUCCCAGCAGCCGCGGUAAUCCGGAGGGUGCAAGCGUUAUUCGGAAUCACUUGGCGUAAAGGGGGCGGAGGCGGGAUUGGAAGGCAGAUGUGAAAUGCUGUAGCUUAACGCCAGAACUGCAGUUGAAACUGUGGUUCUGGAGUGUGGGAGAGGUAGGUGGAAUGCUUGGUGUAGCGGUGAAAUGCGUAGAUAUCACGAGGAAUACUCAUUGCGAAGGCGGCCUACUGGAACAUUACUGACGCUCAUGCACGAAAGCGUGGGGAGCAAACAGGAUUAGAUACCCCAGUAGUC